CUGUGGGCCCCCCCCGGGGGGGUGGGGUGGGGGCAUCACUGUUUUUUGCUUUUUCCUUAACCAAGGCCAUGGAGGCUUGGAGAGGUUCGGUGACUUUGACCAGGCGACACAGCUUGCUGGAGGGGGCCAGGAUCCAAAGCUCUGAAGAGACUGUUCCUAGCAGCCCCUGGUCGAAGCAGAUUUGGCUUCUGGGGAGUUGUGGGGUUUCCCUUCCUCCUCAGACGGAGUCAGAGGCGCCGAAGCUUCUACCUUCUUUCCAGGCAGUGUCCUUACCGGGUGUCCUGCCGGGAGGGAAGCAGCCGGGUCGGGGCCGAGCCCAGCGCGUGUGGUGGUUUGAAGCCCCUGCUCGGGAGGAUGGCCGCCGCCUUCCUGGGAGGGACAAGAAUGUCAGCUUCCCUGGCUUUAGUCACUUCAAGGGACACCAGCCAGCUCAGCCCAAGGGUUGGGGGUCUCCGUACCCCUCUGGGUCGAGGCUUGAGCGAUGUCUUCAGUAACCGAUCCGAGUGUGCCGGCAGCAGAGGCAGGCUUGCUGUUUACGGAGGUCACCCCACUGCUCUGGGCUCGUGUUCCUUCAUCUGUAAUAUGAAGAGAAUGGACUGGAUGCCUGCAAAAGUCCCUUACAGAACAGAGAGACGACAGUGAUUUCUUCCUUUAACCUGGGUGACCCCCAGAAGACAAAGAGGUACUUUUUUUUUGGAAAAGGAGCAUGAGAUGAUGAGGCUGGUUCUCUGUUGUUGCUGACCUUUUCCUACAGGGCCUGUGAACACUUGUCUCACUUGCCCAACGCAAGUGAACUUGUGUGAGAGUCCCGCAAAGGAAAAUGAGCACCAGUUUGCCGAGAGGAAGUGGCUGAGGCAAGGAUUGGCUCUCACUGGGACACCUUGCUGCCUUGGCUUAAUGGGAGUGAGCAGAAGUCUCAAAUGAAUCCCCAAGUAAAAGUAACGGCACGCAGCAUUCCUAGGACCAGGGGUCUGUUACCAUAGCAACUGACUCCGGAGGUGUCCACUCAAGGUUUUGAGAACCCCAGGCCCCAUCCUGGGCUACAGCAAGUCGUAUAAGACCAAGUUCGCCUUACCUACCAGGAAAGGCAGUGAAGGACUCUAUUUUCGCUCCAUUAUUCCACGUCCAGGAUUCCAACCUUCCCUAGAGAUGUCACAUCGGCACCAAACGACUGCAUGUUAUGCAUACAGGUGCGCAGAGCGAGCCCAAUGAUAAGCACAGCACCCCAUGGUUAGAACUCUGGCAAAUGUAUUUCUGUUCUUGUGAAGACAACUCAGAACAAACUCCAUUCUUCUGUUUUGUAUACAUUUAUAGUAAUUAUUAUCUUUAUUUAAAAAGUCACUUCUCACAUCUGUUUGGAGGGACCACUUUUUUUUUUUAAAUUAAGAGUCACAUGCUCUACCAAUGGAGUCAGCCCAGUGCACCUGAAGGACCACACUCUUGUACUGUUUUUUGUUUUUUUUAAGUAAUCUCUAUGCCCAACAUGGGGCUCGAACUCAGGACCCUGAGAUGAAGAGUUGCAUGCUCUCCCGAGUCAGUCAGGCACCCCCACACUCUUGUAUUGAGAUAAAGAAUU